rnacentral:rRNA from 1 species
AUUGAACGCUGGCGGCAGGCCUAACACAUGCAAGUCGAACGAGUGGCGGACGGGUGAGUAAUGCCUGGGAAUCUGGCUUAUGGAGGGGGAUAACUACGGGAAACUGUAGCUAAUACCGCGUACCAUCGGAUGUGCCCAAGUGGGAUUAGCUAGUUGGUGAGGUAAAGGCUCACCAAGCCGACGAUCCCUAGCUGGUCUGAGAGGAUGACCAGCCACACUGGGACGGAGACACGGCCCAGAUUCCAACGGGAGGCAGCAGUGGGGAAUAUUGCGCAAUGGGGGCAACCUGACGCAGCAAUGCCGCGUGAAUGAAGAAGGCUUUCGGGUUGUAAAGUUCUUUCGGUAGCGAGGCGUUAACUACAGAAGAAGCACCGGCUAACUCCGUGCCAGCAGCCGCGGUAAUUC